CGGGUAUGAGGCUGGGACUAAGCCAAGGGAUUCAGGUGUGGUGCCGGUGGGAACUGAGGAAGCGCCCAAGCUUUUUUGUUCUGAACUCCCACUGCGUUGUGGAUUCCUGAGGAUGGGAUGACUGUAUCUUGAUUACCCGGAGGUCUGGCAUAUACCACGUGCUCCCUAAAUUAUGAGCGAAUGUUGAAUAAAAUUCUAAAGGAAAUGAAACACGAUUUCCAAAAUGAACUUAAUCUUUCAUGAGAAACUGAGGAUAGAGAUGUCAAUAAGCAGCCACUGUUUCCACCUCCCCACCUGAAGAGCUAGGAGGACAACUACAAAGAGCCUGACUGCCUUCUCGGAAUGAGGAGAGAGGAAAACAGCAACAGUAUCAGUUUUCAAGAUGGCAGCAUCUAUGCAUGGUCAGCCCAGUCCUUCUCUAGAAGAUGCAAAACUCAGAAGACCAAUGGUCAUAGAAAUCAUAGAAAAAAAUUUUGACUAUCUUAGAAAAGAAAUAUCCUAUUCUUUGAGUUGGCUAUGAAGAACACAUCUUUAAAAAAAAGAAUGGGGGAAACAAGAACAGAUGAAAAUGGUGGUUUGUUGGAAUAUUUCGGAUUGUGGAUAAUUUCUUUUGUUUCUUAAAAAGUAUCCAAAAGUAUUGCUAAAACUUUUGUGCAGUAAAUGUAUUUUAAUUAAAAGUAAUUAGGAGAAAACCAUUGAGGGGGGUACUUAUAUUUAAUUGGUGAGUAAUUAUAAUCAGUUUAGGAUUGAUUAUCUCAGCCACAGUACUUAGUACAGCAAAAGGGAAUACAGAUUUCAUGGUAUAAAUAUAGUCUCACAUUAACAUAUUGACUUUUUUUUUUGAGAUAAGAGUCUCACUCUGUCACCCAGGCUGGAGUGCAGUGGCACAAUCUCGGCUCACUGCAAUCUCCAGCUCCCAGGUUCAAGUGAUUCUCCUGCCUCAGCCUCCCAAGUAGCUGGGAUUACAGGCGUGUACCACCACAACCAGCUAAUUUUUGUAUUUUUAGUAGAGAUGGUUUAACCAUGUUGGCCAGACUGGCCAUUUUGACUUUUAAAUGAACAAAGUUCAAGAAAAAAAUCAAAGGACAGUUGAUGUUAUUUCCUGGAUUUACAUAUGGGUCUUAAUAAGAAAACUAAAUCAGAUUUUUUUGGAUGAAGUUUUAUAAAUCUUGGACAAAUUAUUUUAUUUUAUUUUAUUUUAUUUCAUUUUCUGUUUUAUGGCUUUAUUGAAGUAUAAUUUAUAUAUCUUGACAUUCAUCCAUUUAAAGUGUACAGUUAUAUGAGUUUUAGCAAAUUUAUACAGUUAUGUAACCAUCACCACAAUUAAAAUUUGGAAUACUUCCAACAUCCCCAAAAAGUUCCCUCAUUCCCUUUUAUUUUUUUUUAUUUUAUUAUUAUUAUACUUUAAGUUUUAGGGUACAUGUGCACAAUGUGCAGGUUAGUUACAUAUGUAUACAUGUGCCAUGCUGGUGUGCUGCACCCAUUAACUCAUCAUUUAGCAUUAGGUAGAUCUCCUAAAGCUAUCCCUCCCCUCUCCUCCCACCCCACAACAGUCCCCAGAGUGUGAUGUUCCCCUUCCUGUGUCCAUGUGUUCUCAUUGUUCAUUUCCCACCUAUGAGUGAGAAUAUGCGGUGUUUGGUUUUUUGUUCUUGCAAUAGUUUACUGAGAAUGAUGAUUUCCAACUUCAUCCAUGUCCCUACAAAGGACAUGAACUCAUCAUUUUUUAUGGCUGCAUAGUAUUCCAUGGUGUAUAUGUGCCACAUUUUCUUAAUCCAGUCUAUCAUUGCUGGACAUUUGGGUUGGUUCCAAGUCUUUGCUAUUGUGAAUAGUGCCACAAUAAACAUACGUGUGCAUGUGUCUUU
rnacentral:lncRNA from 1 species